rnacentral:rRNA from 1 species
GAUCAUGGCUCAGGAUGAACNCUAGCUACAGGCUUAACACAUGCAAGUCGAGGGGCGGCAUGGUCUUAGCUUGCUAAGGCCGAUGGCGACCGGCGCACGGGUGAGUAACACGUAUCCAACCUGCCGUCUACUCUUGGACAGCCUUCUGAAAGGAAGAUUAAUACAAGAUGGCAUCAUGAGUCCGCAUGUUCACAUGAUUAAAGGUAUUCCGGUAGACGAUGGGGA